AGCAGCCGCGGUAAUUCCAGCUCCAAUAGCGUAUAUUAAAGUUGUUGCAGUUAAAAAGCUCGUAGUUGAAUUUCGGGGUCAGUAGGUUGGUCGUGCCACCGGUACGUACUGGUCUCACUGAUUCCUCCUUCCUGAUGAGCUGUAAUGCCAUUAAUUUGGUGUUGCAGGGAAUCUGGACUGUUACUUUGAAAAAAUUAGGGUGUUUAAAGCAGGCUAACGCUUGAAUACAUUAGCAUGGAAUAAUGAAAUAGGACGUUCGAUCCUAUUUUGUUGGUUUCUAGGAUUGACGUAAUGAUUAAUAGGGAUAGUUGGGGGCAUUAGUAUUCAAUUGUCAGAGGUGAAAUUCUUGGAUUUAUUGAAGACUAACUACUGCGAAAGCAUUUGCCAAGGAUGUUUUCAUUAAUCAAGAACGAAAGUUAGGGGAUCGAAGACGAUCAGAUACCGUCGUAGUCUUAACCAUAAACUAUGCCGACUAGGGAUCGGAUGAUGUUAAUUUUUUAAUGACUCA
rnacentral:rRNA from 1 species